CCAAUGUGGAUACCCAGGGAAGUCACUCUCUUCAGGCUCUGUCCAGGUGGCACAGGGGAGCACAUGGCUCUGCUCAGCAAUAUAUAAUCCCACUCCAUGAUGCUGGAGAUGAAACUGGUCCCUGAGCAUGCACCUGCACAUUCACACAGCUUCUCAGAAUCAGGUAGACAAUGGCUGGGGAGAGAAGCAAUGCAAGAAAGAGCC
ensembl:snoRNA SNORA73 Small nucleolar RNA SNORA73 family